rnacentral:rRNA from 1 species
AACGAACGCUGGCGGCGUGCUUAACACAUGCAAGUCGAACGCGAACGACACUUUCGGGUGUUUAGUAGAGUGGCGCACGGGUGAGUAACGCGUAGAUAACCUAUCUUUAUGUUUGGGAUAACCCACCGAAAGGUGGACUAAUACCGGAUACUCCUGUUUUUCAACAAGUUAUACAGGCAAAGGUAGCCUCUGAUACAAGCUAUUGCAUAAAGCGGGGUCUGCGUACCAUUAGCUGGUUGGUGGGGUAAUGGCCUACCAAGGCGACGAUGGUUAGCGGGUCUGAGAGGAUGAUCCGUCACACUGGCACUGGAACACGGGCCAGACUCCUACGGGAGGCAGCAGUGAGGAAUAUUGCGCAAUGGGGGAAACCCUGACGCAGCGACGCCGCGUGAGUGAGGAAGGCCUUCGGGUCGUAAAGCUCUGUCAAGAGGGAAGAAGUGCAUAGUGGUUAACAGCCAUUAUGUUUGACGGUACCUCUAGAGGAAGCACCGGCUAACUCCGUGCCAGCAGCCGCGGUAAUACGGAGGGUGCGAGCGUUGUUCGGAAUUACUGGGCGUAAAGGGCGCGCAGGCGGGUUUUGUGUGUCAGAUGUGAAAGCCCACGGUUUAACCGUGGAAGUGCAUUUGAAACUGCAAGACUUGAGUAUCAGAGGGGAAAGUGGAAUUCCUGGUGUAGAGGUGAAAUUCGUAGAUAUCAGGAGGAAUACCGGUGGCGAAGGCGACUUUCUGGCUGAAUACUGACGCUGAGGCGCGAAAGCGUGGGGAGCAAACAGGAUUAGAUACCCUGGUAGUCCACGCCGUAAAUGAUGUCAACUAGAUGCAGGGGGUGUUGAUCCCUUCUGUGUCGUAGCUAACGCAUUAAGUUGACCGCCUGGGGAGUACGGUCACAAGAUUAAAACUCAAAGAAAUUGACGGGGGCCCGCACAAGCGGUGGAGUAUGUGGUUUAAUUCGAUGCAACGCGAAGAACCUUACCUGGUCUUGACAUCCCGGGGAUUUUCUGGAAACAGGAGAGUGCUUACAUUAGUAAGAGCCUGGUGACAGGUGCUGCAUGGCUGUCGUCAGCUCGUGUCGUGAGAUGUUGGGUUAAGUCCCGCAACGAGCGCAACCCUUACCUUUAGUUGCCAUCAGUUUUGCUGGGCACUCUAAAGGGACUGCCGGUGUCAAACCGGAGGAAGGUGGGGAUGACGUCAAGUCCUCAUGGCCUUUAUGAUCAGGGCUACACACGUACUACAAUGGCCGGUACAAAGGGCAGCGACACUGCGAAGUGAAGCGAAUCCCAUAAAGCCGGUCUCAGUCCGGAUUGGAGUCUGCAACUCGACUCCAUGAAGUCGGAAUCGCUAGUAAUCGUGGAUCAGCAUGCCACGGUGAAUACGUUCCCGGGCCU